rnacentral:misc_RNA from 1 species
GAGAACGCAGCGAAAUGCGAUACGUAAUGUGAAUUGCAGAAUUCAGUGAAUCAUCGAGUCUUUGAACGCACAUUGCGCCCCCUGGUAUUCCGGGGGGCAUGCCUGUCCGAGCGUCAUUGCUGCCCUCAAGCACGGCUUGUGUGUUGGGCCUCCGUCCUCCUCCCGGGGGACGGGCCCGAAAGGCAGCGGCGGCACCGCGUCCGGUCCUCGAGCGUAUGGGGCUUCGUCACCCGCUCUUGUAGGCCCGGCCGGCGCUUGCCGACACAUCAAUCUUUUUUCCAGGUUGACCUCGGAUCAGGUAGGGAUACCCGCUGAACUUAAGCAUAUCAAUAAGCGGAGGA